CGGGUCUAUAGCUCAGGCGGUUAGAGCGCUUCGCUGAUAACGAAGAGAGCGGAGGUUCGAGUCCUCCUAAGAAACACGACCA
rnacentral:tRNA from 1 species